UGGGGAAUUUUGGACAAUGGGCGAAAGCCUGAUCCAGCAAUGCCGCGUGUGAAGAAGGCCUUCGGGUUGUAAAGCACUUUUGUCCGGAAAGAAAUCCUUGGCUCUAAUACAGUCGGGGGAUGACGGUACCGGAAGAAUAAGCACCGGCUAACUACGUGCCAGCAGCCGCGGUAAUACGUAGGGUGCAAGCGUUAAUCGGAAUUACUGGGCGUAAAGCGUGCGCAGGCGGUUUGCUAAGACCGAUGUGAAAUCCCCGGGCUCAACCUGGGAACUGCAUUGGUGACUGGCAGGCUAGAGUAUGGCAGAGGGGGGUAGAAUUCCACGUGUAGCAGUGAAAUGCGUAGAGAUGUGGAGGAAUACCGAUGGCGAAGGCAGCCCCCUGGGCCAAUACUGACGCUCAUGCACGAAAGCGUGGGGAGCAAACAGGAUUAGAUACCCUGGUAGUCCACGCCCUAAACGAUGUCAACUAGUUGUUGGGGAUUCAUUUCCUUAGUAACGUAGCUAACGCGUGAAGUUGACCGCCUGGGGAGUACGGUCGCAAGAUUAAAACUCAAAUGAAUUGACGGGGUCAUAGCUGUUUCCU
rnacentral:rRNA from 1 species